CCGAGUAGCUGGGACUACAAGCGCCCGCCAUCAUGCCUGGCUAAUUUUUUGUAGUUUUAGUGGAGACGGGGUUUCACCAUGUUAGCCAGGAUGGUCUCGAUCUCCUGACCUCGUGAUUCGCCCGCCUUGGCCUCCCAAAGUCCUGGGAUUACAGGCGUGAGCCACUGCGCCCGGCCGUGGGGGCCCACCUCUUGCAUCCGCAUGGCCUGGAUGUGAGACAUGGAGUCAAAGGAGAUUAUUUUGGAACUUUAAGGCUCAUGGGCAGAAGUGACUUGCCUUGUCUCAGAUGAGACUUUGGACUUGGACUUUUAAUUAACGCUGGAAUGAGCUAAGACUUUUGGGGACUGUUGGAAAGGCAUGAUCAUGUUUUGAAAAGUGAGAACAUGAGAUUUGGGAGGGACCAGGGGCCAGGGGUUUGUCUGUGUUCUCACCCAAAAUCUCAUCUUGAAUUAUAAUCCCCACGUGUCAAGGGUGGGACCAGGUGGAGGUAAUCAGAUCAUGGGGGCAGUUUCCCCCAUGCUGUUCUCGUGAUACUGAGUGAGUCUCACGAGAUCUGAGUUUUAUAAGCAUCUGGCAUUUUCCCUGCUUGCACUCACUCCGUCUUGCCGCCCUGUGAAGAAGGUGCCUGCUUCUCCUUUGCCUCUGCCAUGAUUGUAAAUUUCCUGAGGCCUCCCCAGCAAUGCAGAACUGUGAGUCAAUUAAACCUCUUUCUUUUAUAAAUUACCCAGUCUCGGGUAUUUCUUCAUAACAGUGAGUGUGAGAACAGACUAAUACAG
rnacentral:lncRNA from 1 species